AAUGAACGUUGGCGGCAUGGAUUAGGCAUGCAAGUCGAGCGAGAAGAGUUUUGAAGCUUGCUUUAGAACUCGGACAGCGGCGAAAGGGAGAGUAACGCGUAGUUAUGUGCCCUAGGGUCCGGAAUAGCCACGGGAAACUGUGGGUAAUGCCGGAUAAUAUCCCCGGAUCAAAGGUGUGAUUCCGCCCUGGGAGCAGACUGCGUCCUACUAGCUAGUUGGUGGGGUAAUGGCCUACCAAGGCAAUGAUGGGUAGCGGGUGUGAGAGCAUGACCCGUCUCACUGGGACUGAGACACUGCCCAGACACCUACGGGUGGCUGCAGUCGAGAAUCUUCGGCAAUGGGCGAAAGCCUGACCGAGCGAUGCCGCGUGCGGGAUGAAGGCCCUCGGGUUGUAAACCGCUGUCGUAGGGGAGGAAGGUUCCGUGCAGAGCGGAAUUUGACCUAUCCUAGGAGGAAGUACGGGCUAAGUUCGUGCCAGCAGCCGCAGUAAGAC
rnacentral:rRNA from 1 species